rnacentral:rRNA from 1 species
AACUAUAACGGUCCUAAGGUAGCGAAAUUCCUUGUCAGGUAAGUUCUGACCCGCACGAAUGGCGUAAUGAUUUGGGCACUGUCUCGACAGCCCGCCCGGCGAAAUUGUAGUACUGGUGAAGAUGCCAGUUACCCGCAACUAGACGGAAAGACCCCAUGGAGCUUUACUGCAGUUUAAUACUGGGAAUCGGUAAUUCAUGUACAGGAUAGGUGGGAGACUGGGAAGCAUGGCCGUCAGGUCGUGUGGAGUCACCGGUGGGAUACCACUCUUGGAUUGCUGGUUUCCUAACCUGCGGCCCUGAAUCGGGUCGGGGGACACUGUUAGACGGGCAGUUUGACUGGGGCGGUCGCCUCCAAAAGAGUAACGGAGGCGCUCAAAGGUUCGCUCAGCAUGGACGGAAACCAUGCCAAAGAGUGCAAACGCAAAAGCGAGCCUAACUGCGAGACUGACGGGUCGAGCAGUAACGAAAGUUGGAGUUAGUGAUCCGGUGGUAUGUGAGUGGAAAUGCCAUCGCUCAACGGAUAAAAGUUACCCUGGGGAUAACAGGCUGAUCUCCCCCAAGAGUCCACAUCGACGGGGAGGUUUGGCACCUCGAUGUCGGCUCAUCGCAUCCUGGGGCUGAAUUCGGUCCCAAGGGUUUGGCUGUUCGCCAAUUAAAGCGGCACGCGAGCUGGGUUCAGAACGUCGUGAGACAGUUCGGUCCCUAUCUGUUGCGGGCGUAAGAGAUUUGAAGGGAGCUGUCCUUAGUACGAGAGGACCGGGAUGGACGUACCUCUGGUGCACCAGUUGUCCUGCCAAGGGCAUAGCUGGGUAGCUAUGUACGGACGAGAUAAACGCUGAAAGCAUCUAAGCGUGAAACUCUCCCUAAGAUGAGAUCUCUCAUCCUUUAUGGAGUAAGGGCCCAGAAAGACGAUCUGGUUGAUAGGCCGGAGGUGGAAGUACAGCAAUGUAUGCAGCUGACCGGUACUAAUAGCCCGAGGGCUUGACCUA